UGUUCGUUAUUUAGGGCGCAUGGUGGAUGCCUUGGCAUGCUGGGCCGAUGAAGGACGUGUAAGGCUGCGUUAAGCCUCGGGGAGUUGUCAAUAGAGCGUUGAUCCGAGGAUGUCCGAAUGGGGAAACCUGGCACCUGUUAUGGGGUGUUACCCUUCAGUGAAUUCAUAGCUGUUGUGGGGGUUUACGCGGGGAAGUGAAACAUCUCAGUACCCGUAGGAGAAGAAAAUAAAAUAUGAUUCUGCUAGUAGUGGCGAACGAACGUGGAUGAGGCUAAACCGUGUGCAUGUGAUACUUGGUAGGGGUUGUGUGUGCGGUGUUGUGGGCCCCAAUGUGAAUCAGCUACCACUGGUUUGCUUGUGUGUUGUUGUUAGGUGAAGUGGUGUGGAAACGCCCACCGUAGAGGGUGAUAGUCCCGUAGUUGAAGGCUUCAAUGCAUAGGUUGUUGGGUUGCCCGAGUAGCAGCGGGCUCGUGGAAUCUGCUGUGAAUCUGCCGGGACCACCCGGUAAGCCUAAAUACUCAGUGUGACCGAUAGUGUAUGAGUACCGUGAGGGAAUGGUGAAAAGUACCCCGGGAGGGGAGUGAAAUAGUUCCUGAAACCAUGUGCUUACAAUCCGUCAGAGCACCUGUUGUGUGUGAUGGCGUGCCUUUUGAAGAAUGAGCCUGCGAGUCAGCGGCAUGUCGCGAGGUUAACCCGUGUGGGGUAGCCGUAGGGAAACCGAAUCCUCAUGGGGUGUUUAGUGGCAUGUCCUGGACCCGAAGCGGGGUGAUCUACCCAUGGCCAGUGUGAAGCAGUAGUAAGAUGCUGUGGAGGCGCGAACCCACGUAGGUUGAAAACUGCGGGGAUGAGCUGUGGGUAGGGGUGAAAGGCCAAUCAAACUCCGUGAUAGCUGGUUCUCCCCGAAAUGCAUUUAGGUGCAGCGUCGCAUUAGCUUGGUGGAGGUAGAGCUACUGGUUGGUUGAGCGGGACUACAAUCUUAGCAAUGUCAGCCAAACUCCGAAUGCCACUAAUUGUGUUGUGCGGCAGUGAGACUGUGGGGGAUAAGCUUCAUAGUCGAGAGGGAAACAGCCCAGAUCGCCGGUUAAGGCCCCUAAGGGUGUGCUAAGUGGAAAAGGAUGUGGGAUCGCGAAGACAGCCAGGAGGUUGGCUUAGAAGCAGCCAUCCUUGAAAGAGUGCGUAAUAGCUCACUGGUCGAGUGGUCCUGCGCCGACAAUGUAGUGGGGCUCAAGCACACCGCCGAAGCCGCGGCAA
rnacentral:rRNA from 1 species